AAGAAAAUGACCCUUUAUGCCUUUGUAUAAACUGAACAUGAUUCCCUGGGGGUUGGGCGGCAGACCCCUAUAGUUGCCACUGCUGGGUCACUGUUACAUGGGCAUUAUAUCUGGCUUUAUUUUUCCAACUCUGAGUCUGUUUUAUGUUGUGUCAUGUUGUCUGGCAGUUAUUAUUUAAGUGAUUUAUUGAUUCUACAAGUCUAGCAGUAUUGAGGUUUGGUGACAAUGAACUAAAAAAUGUUAACAAAUUAUUUUACACGGGUUUAAAUCAUUACUUACAUAGGGCUGGGUUAGUUUAGAUGAUUUCCAUCUCAGUUAAUGAAUAAAAUAGUAAUUUUUAAAGAGCCAUCAUCCUCAGCAACUACCAGUUCUCUCAAUUUACACUUUAGCUAGAUUUGUUUCCUUUGGGGUUAGCUGAUUGUUUAUUUAUUUAUUUAUUUGGAAUGUGUUACUUGUUGCCAGAUUAAUGACAGCACAGACAGGGAGGGGGGAAAAAAAGCAAGAAAUGUGAGAUUUACACCACCUGCUAGCUAUAACUGGAGCUGGGCUGUUAAAAAGAACCAGUGUUGUGUUUAUGUCUGUUUGUGCUGCCCUCUAGUGGUCAGUGUUGAUUUUCACCACUUUUUCGGUUGUUACUGGUGAAACAUUACAUCUAUAAUUGACGUCUUAGUUUUUUUUUUAAUCUCCCUCUUUUUAACAUGACACCACCUGUCAAUCAAUCCAGUGGGUUUGUCAGCAACUAACCAAUCGGCGGCCGCAAUUUGUUCUGAAGUCAAACACCUGGAGGAACUGAACCUCCGUCGAAGUUGAAUCAAGAUUAAUCAAGAUUUGGUGAAAAAAUAAUUCGGAAAAAUUGUUAAACGUUAGUCAUUGGGGGAUAUGCAAUUACGUCACGCUUUAUCUAGAGAAUUUAGAACACGGAAUAUUUUAUUCGAUUUCUAAAACCCAAAUGGAGUCUGCGGCCGACCAUGAGCAACUGAAUACAACCGUACUGAUCGACGGCAUAACUUCCACGUGUUCGUCUGUAUGAAGUGUUCUGCAGAGCCGCCGUGCUGACAGGCUGAAGGGUUUUUACUGAUGCCACGUGCUGCACCAAAAAACAAGAAGCCUGAGGGAUGAUCCUCUCCCAGCUGUUUUUCUGCAGCAAAACACAGUAAACAGCGAUUUGGUUGAAUCCUAGAUAACUCCAUUAAUUCCUGAGUAUACAGGAGACUCUUCAGUAGAGACAGAAGUUCACUGCAAGGCUGACUAAUCUUCCCACAGACCGGUUCAGACCAGUCUGAAGUUGAAACUCGCCGUGACUCUCGGUUCCACAUUUUAAACCUCUCUGAGCUCAUAGUGUUUCCUACAAAACCAGCUGAUUGAUUUUCCCGUCAGUCUGCUAUAAAGUAUAUUGCCUCUUUGUCUCUUGGUUGUCGUCAUAGAAAACAUCCACUAAAAUAUUUGGCCCUCUUCCACUCAUUUUUAUAAUCUAAAAAAAAAAAAA